CACCCCACGUCGCAGAUCCGAUCACUACGGCGGCGACCCGCGGCCAAAGACGGAGACCUCGCCGUGCGCCCUAAACACCGACGACACAGGAUACUGAUCGAUUGCAGUUGGGUUCAUCUUGAUCUCCUGACGCGGCCGCCGUGUACUUCUUGGUGCGAGGUACGCAUGUCAGGGUGACUUGAUUUUCUCCCGAUGCCCGAGCGAUCUGGAGCUAAGGUGCCUCACCUAGGGACUACCAGCAAUGCAAUCUACCAAUAGCUUGCAAAUGCAGUUGGAGGAGGAAAGAUUUACCACACCUGUAAAGAAAGCAAGUGUUCCUCUCCCCUGUUCGUCUUUUACACCGGAAUGUGAAGAGAAUUUGAAGCCUAAUUUAGGCAUGACAUUUGAAGGAUUAGAGGCUGUUGAGAAGUUCUAUAAGUUUUAUGGACAUGAAGUUGUGUGGUAAUGAUACCUACAAGAUAGAAUCAUGGGUUGAGCACUACAAUCAUGGUCACUUGAUCAGAUCAAAUCGUCGAGUUAUUGAGAGUGCAAAGAAUGCAUUCUACACAUGUAACAAAGCAAGCAUAGACACCUGUCAGACAUACAGGCUUCUCCAAGUCAGCGAGGGUUCCUGCAGUGAAGCACACUAGGCAAGAGGAAUAUGAGGCAUUUAUUGGUUGCAACAUCCCUACUCAAGUUAACAUACACCCGCCAAAUGAUGUUCGUUCGGCAGGGAGAAGUAAAAGAAUAAGGAGAGGAAAGGAGAUGAAUGGGGAAGAACUGAAAGAGAAGAACGAAGAAGCCAAGGCCAAGGUCGCACGCUCGUGCAAGACGUGCAACCAAGUAGGGUUUCAUGAUAGUCGCAAUUGUCCAAAGAAAAAGGGUCAAGGAAAAGAAGUCAUGAAUGUGCAUGUCAUGCAUACAUAAUUACAGAUUGUGCAUCAUGAAAGCUACACCUCUUGCAAGAAAAAUAAAUGCUUUAUCAAUAGUAUUGUUUUAUUCGAUGUAUAAAAUUUCUUUGUGUAAUGGAUCAAAUAAUUAUUUUGUCCAACUGUUUGACUUAGUGGUGAGCAGAUUCAAUGAAUUGCAGUUUUU